CGUAGGGUGCAAGCGUUAAUCGGAAUUACUGGGCGUAAAGCGUGCGCAGGCGGUUAUGUAAGACAGGUGUGAAAUCCCCGGGCUUAACCUGGGAACUGCAUUUGUGACUGCAUAGCUAGAGUACGGUAGAGGGGGAUGGAAUUCCGCGUGUAGUAGUGAAAUGCGUAGAUAUGCGGAGGAACACCGAUGGCGAAGGCAAUCCCCUGGACCUGUACUGACGCUCAUGCACGAAAGCGUGGGGAGCAAACAGGAUUAGAUACCCUGGUAGUCCACGCCCUAAACGAUGUCAACUGGUUGUUGGGUCUUCACUGACUCAGUAACGAAGCUAACGCGUGAAGUUGACCGCCUGGGGAGUACGGCCGCAAGGUUG
rnacentral:rRNA from 1 species